rnacentral:rRNA from 1 species
ACGUACACUCCUGCGGGAGGCAGCAGUGGGGAAUAUUGGACAAUGGGCGCAAGCCUGAUCCAGCCAUGCCGCGUGAGUGAUGAAGGCCCUAGGGUUGUAAAGCUCUUUCACCGGUGAAGAUAAUGACGGUAACCGGAGAAGAAGCCCCGGCUAACUUCGUGCCAGCAGCCGCGGUAAUACGAAGGGGGCUAGCGUUGUUCGGAUUUACUGGGCGUAAAGCGCACGUAGGCGGACUAUUAAGUCAGGGGUGGAAUCCCGGGGCUCAACCCCGGAACUGCCUUUGAUACUGGUAGUCUUGAGUUCGAGAGAGGUGAGUGGAAUUCCGAGUGUAGGGGUGAAAUUCGUAGGUAUUCGGAGGAACACCAGUGGCGAAGGCGGCUCACUGGCUCGAUACUGACGGUGAGGUGCGAAAGCGUGGGGAGCAAACAGGAUUAGAAACCCCGGUAGUCCCAUGAU